rnacentral:misc_RNA from 1 species
CAACCAUCAAGCCCUAGGCUUGUGUUGGGGCCCUGCGGCCGUCCGCAGCCCCCUAAAAACAGUGGCGGGCUCGCUAUAUACCGAGUGCAGUAGUUUACUCUUCGCUCAGGACAUGUAGUGGGUUCUUGCCGUAAAACCCCCCAUUUUCUAA